CCUGCCCCAGAGGCCUUGCAGGUGGCUGCUGUGUCACACGUGCAUCAGUAGGUGGCAGAGAGAAGGGACAUGAUGUUCAUGCUCUGGGUUCUGACCUCUGACAUCUGAAUGAUUAGUAGUCUAAUAUU